GCCCCGGUAGCUCAGGUGGAUAGAGCGACUGCCUCCGGAGCAGUAGGUCGGACGUUCGAGUCGUCUCCGGGGUA
rnacentral:tRNA from 2 species